rnacentral:rRNA from 1 species
CCUACGGGAGGCAGCAGUGGGGAAUAUUGGGCAAUGGAGGCAACUCUGACCCAGCAACGCCGCGUGAAUGAUGAAGGUCUUCGGAUUGUAAAGUUCUGUGAUGGGGGAUGAACACAAUGACGGUACCCCAAUAGCAAGCCACGGCUAACUACGCGCCAGCAGCCGCGGGAAUACGUAGGUGGCAAGCGUUAUUCGGAAUGACUGCGCGUAAAGGGUGCGUAGGUGGUUUAGUAAGUUGGCGGUGUAAUUCCGGGGCUCAACCUCGGCGCUACCGCCAAAACUAUUAGACUAGAGUGCAGGAGGGGUAAGUGGAAUUCCUGGUGUAGCGGUGGAAUGCGUAGAUAUUGAGAGGAACAUCAGGGGCGAAGGCGACUUACUGGACUGUAACUGACACUGAGGCACGAAGGCGUGGGGAGCGAACGGGAUUAGAUACCCUUGUAGUC